UGUCCAAGGAUGGGAAUCGAACCCACAGUGUUCCGGGCAAAUGCCAUGUCCAUUAGACUACCCUAGAC